CCAUGACAGAGGCUGAUGUGAAUCCGAAGGCCUAUCCCCUCGCAGAUGCCCACUUCACCAAGAAGCUACUGGACCUUGUUCAGCAGUCGUGUAACUACAAGCAGCUUCGGAAAGGAGCCAAUGAAGCCACCAAAACCCUCAACAGAGGCAUCUCUGAGUUCAUUGUGAUGGCAGCAGAUGCUGAGCCCUUGGAGAUCAUCCUGCACCUCCCUCUGCUGUGUGACUACAAGAAUGUCCCCUACAUAUUUGUGCGCUCCAAGCAGGCUUUAGGACAGGCCUGUGGCGUCUCCAGGCCAGUCAUCGCCUGUUCUGUUACCAUCAAAGAAGGCUCUCAACUGAAACAGCAGAUCCAGUCCAUCCAGCAGUCUACUGAAAGGCUCUUGGUGUAGGCUGUGGACCCUGCCCCCUCCUGUCUACUCCCACCCUGUCUAUGUAUCAUACUGUCUGUUAGCAUGUACUAUUUCCAGCCAGUUUCUAUUAUAUUGUACUACAUCUGG